rnacentral:lncRNA from 1 species
UUUAAACUGUUAAAAACUGUUUCUUUCCUGAUUCAGACAGCAAAUUCUUUAAGAGGUAAAGACAACAGAUCCUUUUGUUCAGACAAGAAGUCUGAUCAUGGAGAAGAGAUUUCGCUUAAGAACAGAUUGUGCUAAGAGAAGAAUUUCACCAGGAGGCAAUGAGGUCUGCAUGAAGACAUCUAACAGAUCUCAGCUUUCAACUCAAGACCAACAGAACACGGUCAGAGACUGCAGGCUGGUUCAGUUGCUGAGAAACAGCAAGCUGGGUUGUUGGCUGAGUGAGAUCUGUGCAGAUACUGUCACACUCCAGCUGCUGACAGCCGGCCUCUUCCUGCUGUUUGUCUGGCUCCUGGCGGAACUGCACGUAGUCCUGCCCUGCCUCCUUCUGUGUGGCUGCCUGUUUGACGGGCCACUCAGGAGGGCAGUGAACACAGCCUGGAACUGGAUUACAGCUUCUGUAAGGGCUAAAGUGGUGAAGACGCCGCACACUGAUGGCUGCUCAGAGGGAACAAGGUCAUAA